rnacentral:rRNA from 1 species
GAACGCUUGCCGCAUGCUUUAUACAUGCAAGUCGAACGAAGGCCCUAGCUUGCUAGGUGUCCUUAGUGGCGCACGGGUGAGUAACACGUGGGAACAUACCUUAUAGUACGGAAUAACUGCGGGAAACUGUAGCUAAUACCGUAUAUUCCAGUAAUGGGAAAGAUUUAUCGCUAUAAGAUUGGCCCGCGCAAGAUUAGCUUGUUGGUGAGGUAAAAGCUCACCAAGGCUUCGAUCUUUAGCUGGUUUGAGAGGAUGAUCAGCCACACUGGGACUGA